rnacentral:lncRNA from 1 species
CACCCCACAGCAUAUGGAGCUCCCAGGCCAGGGACCAGAUCCGAGUGGCAGUGGCAACCUACAUUACGGCUGGGACAACGCGGCAUCCUUUUAACCCACUGUGCCAGGCCAGGGAUUGAACCUGCAUCCUGGCGCUGCAGAGAUGCCACUGAUCCUGUUGCACCACAGUGGGAACUCCUGGGAUAUCUUUUUAAAAGAAAAGCGCAUUUGUGUGCAACUUGUAAAAGCUGCAUGUGUGCUGGACAGACACGUGUCAUACGUGUACACUAUAUAAAUACAUGUAUAUACAAAACUGUAUAUAAUCCAAAACCAUAUAAUGCUAUAUGUAUUAUAUAUUAAAAUAUAAAAUAUACGUAUAUACAUGUGUGUACGCACAUAAUGCAUGUAAUUGUAACCCUAACCCUAACCCUAACCCUAACCCUAAGUCAAAACGCUGACAGGAGUCAUCUAGCAGAGCGGCAGGAUUAUGGGUGAUUUUAACACCUUCUUUUUGCUUAUUUACAUCUUCUAAUAUUUCCAUAAUGAACAUUCAUUGCUUAUGUUCAAAGAAGAAGCAAUGCUUCUUUUUAAAUGAAAAGAAAGUAUUUUUUAGACUGAGAUUCCAGAGCUGUUUAGUGCAAGCCUUGGGAGAGCUAUGAUUAUCUUAAGCAAGGUCGGCAAACCUUUUCUAUAAAAGGCUAGACAGUCAAUAUUUUAGGCUUUGUGGGCCAUGUGGUUUCUGCUGCAAUCACACAACUCCAUCCUCAUAGAAAGUACCCACAGACAAGAUGUAAAUGAUUAUAUGGCUCUGUUCCAGUACACCUCCACUCAUAUUCAUAUUUUAUAUAAUUUUCAAGUGUCACAAAAUAUUACUUUCAGCUUUUGAAUUUUUCCCAACCACUAAAAACUAUAAAAAUCAUUCUUAGCUCAUGGGUCAGACUAAUCUAGGCUGAGUCUGGCCAAGAGCCACGGUUCACCGAGCCCCACCCACAGGCACCCAGUGGCUGUGUGGCGUCUGAAUCCGGCACCCAGUCCUUUGGGAAGUAUCUUGUCUCCUCCUGUCUGACAAGGGGGAGACCUUCUGGGGCUUCCUCGUCCACCUGAGCUGCAGCAGGGACUGGCUGCCCUGGCCUCAGCCGGGAGAAGGCCCUGCACUCCAACGUCCGGAGAGGGGGAUCAGAAGCAGGGUCCUUCCUGGGGUCUCAGAGCACAGCUCACCUCGUCGGCAGGAUUGGCAAAAGCUGGAACCACAAACCAGCCAUCCUGGCCAGGGCUCUAGAAAUCCCCUGGUCUGUGCCCUCAUUUUUCAGGGGGAAGAAGGGAGGAUUCAGCAAGGAGAGCAACCUGCCCAGGGCCACUCAGUUGAUGAGGCAGAGCUGAGGUUAGAACUGAGGGCUUGUGACUUUGAGUGCAGUGCCCUUUCUGUUCUCGCAGGGUUGAAAGGGGCGGCAAGAACCCGGCCAGAGACAGUGUUCCCUGCAUUGGGCACCGUUAUCAACGAAAUCAGCAGCCCUACUGGAGGGCUGCCUCGUGCAGAGAAGGAGCCAGGCAGGUCUGGCCUCAGCCCAGAGGGUGGCACCCAGCCCAGCCAUGGCAGGGGGGUGCUGCCAGCUGGGCUCCAUGCCAGGAAUAGGGAGGGGCCCAAGGGCCCCUUUGCUGGCCUCAGCCUAUGCCCUGCGGGCAGAGGGGUCUCUGAGACCCAGCACUGCUAAUGUCAUGAAUAUGAGGCCCUCUAGCACAGGACCUACUGUCUACCUGCUUCCAGGCACUAGAUCCUACCAGGAUGCGGGAAAGGACAGCUAUAUCCUCUCCUGGGCCUGGCCACCCAGUACGGGUCUCUAUUGCCGAGUGGCUGGGGCCAGAGGAGAGAAGCAGCCCUCGUUCCUGAGGAGAGGAGCCUCAGAGGCAGGAAAAGAGAGGCUUCUUUAGGAAAGCAAGGUGCAAGGACAGAAAUGAUUCUCAAGCUUUGCUGGAGCUUCCCAUAACAGUGAUAUAAUGAAGAGGGCACUCAGGGCAAGGGAGGGCAGAAAUGUUUUAAGAAGAGUUUCCUUCCCAGUGGGUGCCUGAGCCUUGGUUUCUACAGGGAUCAAGGAGAGGCUAGGGUAUUGAGAACUGCCAAAGGGGGUCCACUAACUCCGUCUGCCGCCACCCUCAAUAAUGACACAGGUAAGGCAAAAUGCUAGGAGUAUCAGGGACAUUAUCUCACUGGAAUUCUCACAACCACAUGAGGCAAUGCUAUUACUCUCCAUUUUCUAAAAGAGGAAACCAACACUUGGGUAAGCAAGCGCCUUCGCCCUAGACAACCGCUCAUUAAGCAGCGAGGGCAGGAUCUGAACUCACCGUGAAGUCUACACACACCCAAGGUGGGCAGGAGACACAGGAUCCACACACAGCCGGCCAUUCUCGGGUCACCAUCCUGUCUACAGCGACCCCUCCAUUUCCAGAGAAGACUUUAUUCAAUGUCAGAAGGGUGGGAUGGGAGCGUAGGUGACACCAUUACCCAAAGUGCCAAGAAAGAGGUCCCACCACCGUCCCUUCACAAGUCGGAGCCGAUAUCUCCAAGACCAGGGUGACCUGUCUCACUGGGGUCACCAAGGCUGUCAGGGAACCUCAAGGUUCUUUUCAGUUCAAAGGCAAUUCUCACACUCAUCUCCUUAUCCCCCUCCCUCUGCAGAUGGAACUGCGGAGACUCAGGAGCAGAUGGCUCUCCUUGGGACAGGAGACACGCCUACGGCUUUUCCCUUUCCCGGUCUGCUGCUGUACCACUGGCCAGCUCCUGCCAGGCCCCGCCGCCAGCUCUUUCCUGAUCCUGGGUCCCAGACCCUCUGCAUGAGCUGUCGGGAGUCCAGCCUCAGCACUGGGGGCCGUGUGCGUACACGCACAUACGCCACCGUGGGGACCAAGACAAGCCCUUGGUCUGCUCCCACCCCCUGGAGAUGGGAAAGCGCCAACUCAGCAGCUGAUGCCAGGAGGGUGAAGGGUCCAGGAUGGACAGGACAGGGGGAUCCAGGCCAGCCACACUCCCUCUUGGACAACGGAGCAGAACAGAGACCGCAAUUAAUUAAGGACUGGGGGAGGGUCUUCUUACCCCUGCGAAAGGAGACCCUGCCACAGGGCCAUUGGGCAGGAGGCUGCUGGUUUUCCUCACUCAUCCUGGAAACUGGGAUAGAGGGGAGGCUGGAGUCCCAUCACACUAACUUCUGGUCCUCUCCUGGCAGGUUCUUAUCCAGCCAGGACCCCACCCCACCCCACCCCCAUUCUCUUACACAGAAUCCUCCUCUCCAACCUGGAGGAACAGGAAAGAUACUGUUUAAGGGUCCAGCCUGAUGGGAUUAGGAGAGCCCGCCUCUGUCUCUACCCAAAGCCAGGCACAGUGUGAUAACUAGGAAUUCCUUUCCAAGUUAAAAGUCCAGCUACUGGUUAUUUAGCAUCUACUGUGUGCCAGGCACUGUGUGUUACUUCGUUGAACUCAUAUAACAACCAAUCAUAUGAUGAUCUCCAUUUCACAGAUGAGGAAACUGAGGCUGGAAGAAGCUCAGGAAUUUGCUGGAGUACUUGCUGGAGCUGGAUUCUACCAGGGGCCUCGAUUGGCCCUCUCCUUUAGUUCCUAAACUCAGACAAAACAAGGUGACCCCAGCAAGUACAGGCAUGGUUGGGACAGGGGCCGGGAGGAGCCAGGCCAGGCUCUGCCCUACAGCAUGGAGCUGUCUGCCUGGGCGCAGGAAGGCCCAGUCGGCAGAGGACAGUCUGGGUCUGCAGAGAAAACAAAUGCAGCUGUAAAGGCAGCUCCAUCUCAAGGCCCAAGGGGGAGGCUUCCCAGGCAGGCAGCCCCAACCUAUAAGGUCUCAGACCAAGAACCUACUUGUUCCUCAGAUCCGGUGCCCUCUCUCCUGUGACCCAAGCCUGGCUCUGCCUGGCACAGGACAAGUGCAAGCCUCCUUACUCAGCCAGCCCUCCUCCCUCCUUCUCCUAGGAUCCACAUAGAACUCGACAACUUCAGAGUGGGCUGGGAUCUCCCUUAAGCGGGGAGAGACUGAGAGCCAGGGGGCCUGAGGUUAGAGGAAGUGGGCUGGAUCCCACCUAUGUGGAUCUGGGGAAAGUUGGCGUCUCCGAGUCUCUGUUUCCACAUCAUAAAAUGGGGAUAAUACCUAC